GCCACCUCGUGUGCCAAAGCCAAAAAUAGAACUUAUGGGAUUUAAGGGGUGAAUUGUGUGUUUGUCCACUCCUACAAAGCACUCUAGGUCAUACAUAUGAUUUUGAUGGAAAGCACAUGAAAAAAUCCACAAUACAAAUGCUUUUGAUGCAAGAAUAAGAUGAAAAAGAGUAUAUCUUAUUGUUUCUUUCUUUGUAUCACUUAAGAUUAAUAAAUUCUAAAUAAACUUAAAAUGAGGGAGAG
rnacentral:lncRNA from 1 species